AUACGGAGGGUGCAAGCGUUGUUCGGAAUCAUUGGGCGUAAAGGGCGUGUAGGCGGUUCAUCAAGUUAGAUGUGAAAUCCCUGGGCUCAACCCAGGAAGUGCAUCUGAGACUGAUGAACUAGAGUACAGGAGAGGAAGGUGGAAUUCCUGGUGUAGGGGUGAAAUUCGUAGAUAUCGGGAAGAACACCGGUGGCGAAGGCGGCCUUCUGGCCUGAUACUGACGCUGAGACGCGAAAGCGUGGGGAGC
rnacentral:rRNA from 1 species